UACGGAGGGAGCUAGCGUUGUUCGGAAUUACUGGGCGUAAAGCGUGCGUAGGCGGUUUCUUAAGUCUGCUGUGAAAUCCCCGGGCUCAACCUGGGAAUGGCAGUGGAUACUGGGAGGCUAGAGUGUGUCAGAGGAUGGUGGAAUUCCCGGUGUAGCGGUGAAAUGCGUAGAGAUCGGGAGGAACAUCAGUGGCGAAGGCGGCCAUCUGGGACAACACUGACGCUGAGGCACGAAAGCGUGGGGAGCAAACAGG
rnacentral:rRNA from 1 species